rnacentral:rRNA from 1 species
UUCUUAUUGAUUUUUAUAAUAAGUAUAGCCUGCUCAAUGAUAUUUUUAAUAGCCGCGGAAAUUUAACCGUGCUAAGGUAGCAUAAUCAUUAGUCUUUUAAUUAAAGACUCGUAUGAAAGGUAUUACAUUUUAAAAACUUUAUUAAAUAAUUUUUUUUAAAUUAAACUAAGAAUAAAAAUGUUCUUAUAAAAUAAAUAGACGACAAGACCCUUUUGAACUUUACUUUUGUUUAGCUGGGGCAGCUAAAAAAUAAUUAUCUUUUUAUUUUCCUUUUAAUAAAUAAACCAAUAUAAUUGAUUUAUAAAAAGUUACCAAAGGGAUAACAGCGUAAUAUUUUUUAAAAGUUCUUAUAUAAAAAAAUGAUUGCGACCUCGAUGUUGAAUUAAUGUUACUUUAUAAAUGCAAUAAUUUUUAUUAGUAGGUCUGUUCGACCUUUAAAUCAUUACAU